AUUGAACGCUGGCGGCAUGCUUUACACAUGCAAGUCGAACGGUAACAGGUCUUCGGAUGCUGACGAGUGGCGAACGGGUGAGUAAUGCAUCGGAACGUGCCCAGUCGUGGGGGAUAACGCAGCGAAAGCUGUGCUAAUACCGCAUACGAUCUAUGGAUGAAAGCGGGGGACCGUAAGGCCUCGCGCGAUUGGAGCGGCCGAUGUCAGAUUAGCUAGUUGGUGGGGUAAAGGCCCACCAAGGCGACGAUCUGUAGCUGGUCUGAGAGGACGACCAGCCACACUGGGACUGAGACACGGCCCAGACUCCUACGGGAGGCAGCAGCGGGGAAUUUUGGACAAUGGGCGCAAGCCUGAUCCAGCAAUGCCGCGUGCAGGAAGAAGGCCUUCGGGUUGUAAACUGCUUUUGUACGGAACGAAAAGGUUCGGGUUAAUACCCUGGGCUCAUGACGGUACCGUAAGAAUAAGCACCGGCUAACUACGUGCCAGCAGCCGCGGUAACAC
rnacentral:rRNA from 1 species